rnacentral:tRNA from 1 species
GGGCCCAUGGUUUAGCGGCUAUAACGACUCCCUUACACGGAGUAGGUCACCGGUUCAAAGAGAAUAAGCAUAAUCCCCAGAUUGUUGCUUUUCAUUGAAAGUCCGGUUGGGCCCA